rnacentral:rRNA from 1 species
ACUCCUACGGGAGGCAGCAGUGGGGAAUAUUGGACAAUGGGCGAAAGCCUGAUCCAGCCAUGCCGCGUGUGUGAAGAAGGUCUUCGGAUUGUAAAGCACUUUAAGUUGGGAGGAAGGGCAGUUACCUAAUACGUAAUUGUUUUGACGUUACCGACAGAAUAAGCACCGGCUAACUCUGUGCCAGCAGCCGCGGUAAUACAGAGGGGUGCAAGCGUUAAUCGGAAUUACUGGGCGUAAAGCGCGCGUAGGUGGUUUGUUAAGUUGGAUGUGAAAUCCCCGGGGCUCAACCUGGGAACUGCAUUCAAAACUGACUGACUAGAGUAUGGUAGAGGGUGGUGGAAUUUCCUGUGUAGCGGUGAAAUGCGUAGAUAUAGGAAGGAACACCAGUGGCGAAGGCGGCCCCUGGACAGAUACUGACACUCAGAUGCGAAAGCGUGGGGAGCAAACAGGAUUAGAUACCCUGGUAGCUACGAG